rnacentral:rRNA from 1 species
AACGAACGCUGGCGGCGUGGCUAAGACAUGCAAGUCGAACGGUAGGUUAUAGCAAUAUGGCCUAUAGUGGCGGACGGGUGAGUAAUAAAUAGGUAACGUACCCUGGGCACGGGGAUAGCGUCGUCCCGAGCAAUCGGGGCUUUGCGAAAGUGACGGUAAUACCCGGUAAUGUCCUCGAGUGGCAUCGCUUGAGGACCAGAGGUGGGGACCUUCGGGCCUAUCGGCCUGGGAGCGGCCUAUUUCCUANCAGCUAGUUGGUGAGGUAACGGCUCACCAAGGCUUCGACGGGUAACCGGAC